rnacentral:rRNA from 1 species
GCCAGCAGCCGCGGUAAUACGGAGGGUGCGAGCGUUAAUCGGAAUAACUGGGCGUAAAGGGCACGCAGGCGGUGACUUAAGUGAGGUGUGAAAGCCCCGGGCUUAACCUGGGAAUUGCAUUUCAUACUGGGUCGCUAGAGUACUUUAGGGAGGGGUAGAAUUCCACGUGUAGCGGUGAAAUGCGUAGAGAUGUGGAGGAAUACCGAAGGCGAAGGCAGCCCCUUGGGAAUGUACUGACGCUCAUGUGCGAAAGCGUGGGGAGCAAACAGGAUUAGAUACCCUGGUAGUCCACGCUGUAAACGAUGUCGAUUUGGGGGUUGAACUUUAAGUUUGGCGCCCGUAGCUAACGUGAUAAAUCGACCGCCUGGGGAGUACGGCCGCAAGGUUAAAACUCAAAUGAAUUGACGGGGGCCCGCACAAGCGGUGGAGCAUGUGGUUUAAUUCGAUGCAACGCGAAGAACCUUACCUACUCUUGACAUCCAGAGAACAUUC